rnacentral:rRNA from 1 species
UACGUAGGUGGCAAGCGUUGUCCGGAAUUAUUGGGCGUAAAGCGCGCGCAGGCGGUCUGCUAAGUUUGGAGUGACAGUUGGUGGCUUAACUGCCAAAGUGCUUCGAAAACUGACAGACUUGAGGGCUUCAGAGGGACACGGAAUUCCGGGUGGAGUGGUGAAAUGCGUAGAGAUCCGGAGGAACACCAAAGGCGAAGGCAGUGUCCUGGGGAGUACCUGACGCUCAGGUGCGAAAGCCAGGGGAGCGAACGGG